AUUUUUGAUCAGGAAGUGCAUCCCUCUCUCUCCGAGCUGCAUGAGCCAGGACCGUGUACGAACACCAGAGUGGUUUUGAGCGCACACACAGAACAGUCAGCUGGAGCACCGUGAGGAGAUCUUCACUACAUUUAACUUAAAGUGUGUUGGAUUACAAUCACAGACGGCACCUUUAAGUCGGCAUGUUACAUUAGUGCAGCUAAAACGACAAAGCUGAAUAAAAAUACACAGGAAAGACAA